rnacentral:ncRNA from 1 species
UAGCGUGAAUGGGCGUGUCACUCAUCGGUUUAUACGGGAGGUUACAUUUGCCGGCAGCCGACCAGACUUUGGGUUCGGCAUGAGUCUUGGAUUCCUGUUGACUGGUCACGGUUCCCUCAAUGCAUUCUUGCAUUCGAGGAACCUUUAUGACAGUCCAGAAUGCCGUUGUGGCUCGGCUGCUGAGACAUGGGAGCAUGUUCUCUGUGAGUGCACAAGGUAUGCAGAUUUUCGAGAUCUGAGGGGGAUGGGUAUAAGUGAGGUUAGUGGCGGGUUUGACGUAAGUCAAUCACUCUCCACUAGUGAUAGGGUUAGAAGAAUGAGUGAGUUUGCUAGAGCUGCAUUUUCCAGGCGACGUUUGCAAUUGCAGGAAGGAAUUGUAUGAAUGAUGAUGGAUGGUAGAUGUGAGAAUGUGGGGGUACGAAUGUGGGGGUGUUUCUGAAUGGUAAUUUUUGUUGAACAUUGUGUUGUGAUGGGGCUACCAACCCUUAACUGUUUUGGAGUUUAAAUUGGAAGUGCCCUUCUGGUACGAGGCCUGACCGGAGGCUUUUAAUCUGGUACCACGGGUAACCAGGAGCCCACGGAACUUGUUCCGUCCUGGUUAGUUGGUGCGGCCCUUCGGGGAGUAUCGUGGUGGUUGUGGUUUAACACCCAAAUGCGGGUAGAGCAUCGCUCGACGUGGAGUUGCGUCAUACAACCGGGUUCCGUGACCCAGAUUACGGAAGAGGCUGAGAUAGUCCUCGUGCCAAACCAAGGUAGAAGUCACAACCAAACAGUCGUGUCUUUAAUUGGUACCUGCGGAAUUGUUCCAAGGGGGCGGUGAUUGACGCUUGAAUUAAUCCUAUACUAGGAACCGUGAGAUUAAGCCAUCGCGGCAGGUGCUCACGUUAAGCCCACUGACUUUCAUGUCCCUAUCUACUAUCUAGCGAAACCACAGCCAAGGGAACGGGCUUGGAAUAAUUAGCGGGGAAAGAAGACCCUUUUGAGCUUGACUCUAAUCUGGCAGUGUAAGGAGACAUAAGAGGUGUAGAAUAAGUGGGAGAUAUUAGACUUCGGUUUGGUAUCGACAAUGAAAUACCACUACUCUUAUUGUUUCCUUACUUACUUGAUUAAAUGGAACGUGUAUCAUUUCCUAGCCAUUAUACGGAUAUAAUUAUUAUGUCUUAUGGUAUUGGGUUCUGAUGCAAGCUUCUUGAUCAAAGUAUCACGAUUUUGUUAUAUAAUCGCAAACAAAUUCUUUAAUGAGAGAAUGCAUUUAUGUAUUAUUGAUUUAAAAAUUUGGUAUAACUCCAAUUACUCAGGUAUGAUCCAAUUCAAG